AGCAGCCGCGGUAAUACGGUAGGGUGCGAGCGUUAAUCGGAAUUACGUGGGACGUAAAGCGUGCGCAGGUCGGUUUUAGUAAGACAGAUGUAGAAAACGUCCCCCGGGGACCUUUAACCGUAGGGGAACUGUCGUUUGUGACUGACAAGGCUAGAGUACGGCAGGAGGGGGGUGGAAUUCCUGGUGUAGCAGUGAAAUGCGUAGAGAUCAGGAGGAACACCGAUGGCGAAGGCAGCCCCCUGGGCCUGUACUGACGCUCAUGCACGAAAGCGUGGGGAGCAAACAGGAUUAGAUACCCUGGUAGUCCACGCCCUAAACGAUGUCGACUAGUCGUUCGGAGCAGCAAUGCACUGAGUGACGCAGCUAACGCGUGAAGUCGACCGCCUGGGGAGUACGGCCGCAAGGUUAAAACUCAAAGGAAUUGACGGGG
rnacentral:rRNA from 1 species